AGAGUUUGAUCCUGGCUCAGAUUGAACGCUGGCGGCAGGCCUAACACAUGCAAGUCGAACGCGAAAGUCCUUCGGGAUGAGUAGAGUGGCGGACGGGUGAGUAACGCGUGGGAAUCUGCCCUGUAGUGGGGGAUAACGUUCCGAAAGGGACGCUAAUACCGCAUACGCCCCAAGGGGGAAAGCGGGGGAUCUUCGGACCUCGUGCUACAGGAUGAGCUUGCGUCGGAUUAGCUAGUUGGUGGGGUAAAGGCCUACCAAGGCGACGAUCCGUAGCUGGUCUGAGAGGAUGAUCAGCCACACCGGGACUGAGACACGGCCCGGACUCCUACGGGAGGCAGCAGUGGGGAAUAUUGCGCAAUGGGGGCAACCCUGACGCAGCCAUGCCGCGUGUGUGAAGAAGGCCUUCGGGUUGUAAAGCACUUUCAGUGGGGAGGAAAGGGCGCUGGCUAAUAUCCAGUGCAGUUGACGCUACCCACAGAAGAAGCACCGGCUAAUUCCGUGCCAGCAGCCGCGGUAAUACGGAAGGUGCGAGCGUUAAUCGGAAUUACUGGGCGUAAAGCGCGCGUAGGCGGCUUGGUAAGUCGGGUGUGAAAGCCCCGGGCUCAACCUGGGAACUGCAUUCGAUACUGCUGGGCUAGAGUACGAGAGAGGGGGGUGGAAUUCCAGGUGUAGCGGUGAAAUGCGUAGAGAUCUGGAGGAACACCGGUGGCGAAGGCGGCCCCCUGGUUCGAUACUGACGCUGAGGUGCGAAAGCGUGGGGAGCAAACAGGAUUAGAUACCCUGGUAGUCCACGCCGUAAACGAUGUCUGCUAGCCGUUGGGACCCUUGAGGUUUCGGUGGCGCAGCUAACGCGAUAAGCAGACCGCCUGGGGAGUACGGCCGCAAGGUUAAAACUCAAAUGAAUUGACGGGGGCCCGCACAAGCGGUGGAGCAUGUGUUUAAUUCGAUGCAACGCGAAGAACC
rnacentral:rRNA from 1 species